rnacentral:rRNA from 1 species
CGACCAGGGCUACACACGUGCUACAAUGGCGCAUACAAAGAGAAGCGACCUCGCGAGAGCAAGCGGACCUCAUAAAGUGCGUCGUAGUCCGGAUUGGAGUCUGCAACUCGACUCCAUGAAGUCGGAAUCGCUAGUAAUCGUGGAUCAGAAUGCCACGGUGAAUACGUUCCCGGGCCUUGUACACACCGCCCGUCACACCAUGGGAGUGGGUUGCAAAAGAAGUAGGUAGCUUAACCUUCGGGAGGGCGCUUACCACUUUGUGAUUCAUGACUGGGGUGAAGUCGUAACAAGGUAACCGUAGGGGAACCUGCGGUUGGAUCAC